rnacentral:rRNA from 1 species
GACGAACGCUGGCGGCGUGCUUAACACAUGCAAGUCGAACGCUGAAGCCCUUCGGGGUGGAUGAGUGGCGAACGGGUGAGUAACACGUGGGUAAUCUGCCCUGCACUCUGGGAUAAGCCUUGGAAACGGGGUCUAAUACCGGAUAGGACACGUGGCCGCAUGGUCUGCGUGUGGAAAGUUCCGGCGGUGCAGGUUGAGCCCGCGGCCUAUCAGCUUGUUGGUGGGGUGAUGGCCUACCAAGGCGACGACGGGUAGCCGGCCUGAGAGGGUGACCGGCCACACUGGGACUGAGACACGGCCCAGACUCCUACGGGAGGCAGCAGUGGGGAAACUUGCGCAAUGGGCGAAAGCCUGACGCAGCAACGCCGCGUGGGGGAUGACGGCCUUCGGGUUGUAAACCUCUUUCGACAUCGACGAAGCCUUCGGGUGACGGUAGGUGUAGAAGAAGCACCGGCUAACUACGUGCCAGCAGCCGCAGUAA